CGGCUCUCUUGGCACCAGGCGAAUAGUAGGCGGCGCGGCUCUGGGGCGCUGCGGCGGAGCCUGAGCCCCGCCCCCAUACCCCCCCUUCCCGCCGGCGACCCCUCCUUCCCUCCUCCCGCCGGCAACCCCUCCCUCCCCUUCGCAACGGCGGCGGCGGACACCCGCAAGGGCAGGUCCGCGGCACGGCAACGCUGACGCGGUCUUCUCCCCUCAAGCACCCAUCCCCUUCGGUGUCUGUCUUCUCGCCGGUUGGAGCAGCACUUUCCAUGGUGCACAUCUGAAUGUCUAGUCUUCUUUGUUGGUUGCAGACAGUCCAACAUGAAGCUGAUGGUCAAAUCCAUGGCUUUACAAAUAAUGUUAACUUUGCAGCAUCCAAUCCAAGUUUAAUGUAAGUCAUGAAGCAAUUCUUCUAGUCUAACUUUAACGUAACUGACAAUUCUGCUAGCUUUACAAACAUUUGUUGGCUCAAUUCUGCAAACCUAAACAAUUCCAUAGUUUUUGACAGACUUUCUUAGUCCUUUUAUUAUGUAUUAUGGUCUUGCUCAAUCUCCUGAAUACUAAUUUGGUGGCUCUCGUUGUAUCAAUUGUUCCACAUGGGUACACAUGCCAGCUAUAUGUAUUAUAUUUUGACGGAAUUAGUUAGCUUCUUUAUUGCGGUCUUGCUUAUCGUCAUUAAAUAUCAAUCUGAAUGCUCCCGGCACAUCAAUCUUACUUGGGUUCACAUGAAGAGCUAGUUCAGGUGGCCAGCAUCAAACCAUCACUUGUGCAUCCAGCUGGUCAAGUCUUCAUAACAACACCAUUAUUCAACCUCAAGAAGAAGUUGUUAAGUUAAUCCUGCGUCAAUUCAAAUUAAGUACAGUGCUUUGUGCUGAUCUAUUACUACGAAGCAUAUAGCGUUCAGGAAUCAAACAAGAUGGCAUUCAUAAAAGGGCGAGAGUUUGUUUUGUUAUGAAGUCUUGACCUGGUGGUUGAUGAAAUAAUGGGUGAUGCUUGCUGCUGACCUAUAGCUAAUCGUUGCCCCUCUGACAUUUGAAAUGGAACUGUAUACAUGCAUACAUCAUUUAUUGGAGGCUUUGUUGUCCUGAAAUAGCAGCUCGUUGCACACUAGGAGCUGCUGCUGUAUCAUUAAUCAGUAUAUGCCAUAUAUGUAUUAAUUUCACAUACUCUUGUGGGUGCUUGCUAAUAUUUGUUUCAUGUGUGA